rnacentral:rRNA from 1 species
AACGCGAAGAACCUUACCAGGUCUUGACAUCCCUUGACAACGCUAGAAAUAGCGCGUUCCCUUCGGGGACAAGGUGACAGGUGGUGCAUGGUUGUCGUCAGCUCGUGUCGUGAGAUGUUGGGUUAAGUCCCGCAACGAGCGCAACCCUUAUUAUUAGUUGCCAGCAUUUAGUUGGGCACUCUAGUGAGACUGCCGGUGAUAAACCGGAGGAAGGUGGGGAUGACGUCAAAUCAUCAUGCCCCUUAUGACCUGGGCUACACACGUGCUACAAUGGCAUAUACAACGAGUCGCUAACCUGCGAAGGUACGCUAAUCUCUUAAAGUAUGUCUCAGUUCGGAUUGUAGGCUGCAACUCGCCUACAUGAAGUCGGAAUCGCUAGUAAUCGCGGAUCAGCACGCCGCGGUGAAUACGUUCCCGGGUCUUGUACACACGC